CUAGCCAUAUGUAUUAUUUAUAUGUAAAAACUCGGAAUGAAGAUAUAUUAUAUUAUUAAACAAAUUUAGAGACUUGUUUUGCUUGAAUGAAUUGUUGUUAAAUUAAAUAAUACCUCUAACAACCUUCGGGAAUCAUUUCACUACCACUAACGGGUUUUUGCCUUUUUUUUAUUAUUUUCUAAUGAAAGGUUGAGAGACAAUAUAUAGAGCAUGUCACUGAUAUAAUAGUGUUCAUAUUUAAAGUGUAGCUGGAGAACAUUUUGGGUAUCGUUAGUUGGAGCAUUAACAAAUUAAAAAUUUCACGAAAUAGUUCCAACGGGCCCAUGGCAAUCCACUUAGGAAAACAGCGUCUCGUAUCUUUCCAGAAUCUGUUUUUAAUAUGCAUCGGCCAAAAAUCUUUAUUGGGAUAUAUCCUUUUAAUCCCAGAUAAGUUUAAGAACUUCCACACUGAUUUAAUACAAGGGGGCCCAAUGCCCCAAUUCGGAACUGAAGCUUCUACUCUGGUUUGUAAAAUAUAUGGGUUUGAGAUACCCCAUACUAGAACAUCUCUUAUUUUGAGUAUUUAUUGGUUCAUUUGACUGAAAAAUCUUAAUAAAUGGAAGAUCCGUGGAAGUAUAUUUAUAUCCCAUGCUUUCAGUCUUUCCUAUCGAGUUAAAGGGAUGCUUUUAUAAAUUAUUACACUUCCUUUGUAUUGAUUCAAUAAUUUUUAGCCCAUUUAUUUUCGUAGCUUCCAAAAAAUCUGAUGAAACCCCAACUGUAAGUAGAACAGCUGAUCGAGUGAUUUUUAGUUCACCGAAAGAAACUCUCAAUUCAAGAUCACAAUUCUAGAUAAUUUGUGUCUUUUUAAGAUUUAUUGAGAGACCCGAGAUAUCUUUGAAAUUAUUAAUGGUCUCGAACGAGGCUUUCAUGGACUGUACGAUUUAUUCUUGCCAGAAAAACAAGGUAAGGUCAUCAGGAUACAGUACCGACUCUAACACGCAGUUUUUGUUUUGCAAACCUUUGAUUGCAUACUUUAGCCCUUAUUUUAUACCACAAACCAUUAAUGCUGAUUAUAAACAGGGUUGGAGAUAACAAAUCUCCUUGUCUGGUACCUUUGUAUAUUGCAAGCUUAAAAUUUGCUCCCGGAAUAUCAACUCUCGACGAUGUGUGUCGUAGAAUAGCCGACAUCAUAUCUACGAAUUUAUUUCGAAAUCCAUUUAUGUACAUUUCUUGGAUUAUGUACUUAUGAGAUAAAAUUUCGAAAGCUUUUUCAAAAUCUAUUAAGAGUAUUGCAAAUUUUGUAUUACCUGACGAACAGGGAUCCAUUGCAUCUUGUAUUGACCGCAGAAUAUCUUCCAAAUAUCGGCCUGACUUAAAACCUUUCUGAUCAGGGGAGAUGAUGUGUGGUAACACAUACUAUAUUCUUCAAUUUAAAAUGUCUGUAAGAAUCUUGAAUGAUGUAUUCAGUAGAGAUUGGACGGUAAUUAUUGAUGUCUUCAUUAAUUUUCACCUUUUUUUAGGACCAACGUCAAAAUUCCUUCACCCAUGAAAUCUGUGACAAAUCUAUUUUUGAAAAUUUUCUUAAUGACCCCUUCCAAUAUCAAAGCCAUUUGCAAAUCAAAAGUCUUAAACACUCGAAAGGAAGUCCAAAGGGCCGAGGAGAUUUAUAUUUAUUUUUUUGUAUUUUUUAAUAAAUUUUAGGAUCUCACCUUGGACUAUGGUCAAGUCUAUAUUCUUAAAAAUAUUCUCAUAUACUGAACUAACCUUGUAAUAUUUUUCAGUCGUUACUAGCUUCGAUAAUUUGGAUAGGAGGGGUUUCCACUUGGUAGGGUCUUUGACAAUUCUCAAGAAUUAGCAGAAGUCGCAUAUUUUAUCAGUUGAACUGUCGGGGCAAGCAUAAAGUUUAGAGUAGAAACUACAUACUUCCUUCAGCACCUCAGCAGAAGCCUGAGAAAUCUCACCAGAGAUCCAACUUAAGCAAUAUUUUUUUUCCCCCUCAGCAAAUUUUCUAAGUUUUUGAAAGAUACCUUCCCCUUUAUUUCAAAGUCCACUAUUUUCCUUCUUAAUCUAACCACAGCUCCUUUACUUUUGUAUUCGGUUAUUUCCUCCAACAUUGAGUCUGUAUCUAGGUAUUUGCCAACCAUUUUUUCUAACCGUAUCCUCACUCUUUUCCUUUCUAAGGCAGCUUCUCUACCGUGUCGGAUAAAUAACUUUUUAGUACUUAACUCCAUGUUUUUUAAGGUUUCCUACAGUGAAAUACUUACAUUUCUUACUUUAAUUUAUUUUCGUUUAUAGUUUUAGAUAUUUCAUCUCGAGCUUUCCUGGAGGUAAGAGCGAUACAUUUAGUUUCCAGAACGAACUUCUUGUUUUAAAUGGAUUCCUGAAAGCAGAAAUUAAUGGACAAUGAUCAGAGAUGAAUGAAGGCAUAACAUAGAAUUCUUCCAAAAGAUUAAACACCCGAAGAUUAGCAAGAAUGUAGUCCAGUCAGCCAUGAAUCUCUCUACCUGACUUUGUGCUUCUUUUAAAUGCCCUUUUAGGGAGUGUUUUGUGUGAUAUUAGACCUAAAUCACAUUGGGUUUUUUCCCCUGAUAACCUCUUUUCAUUUCUCCUGCAUUGAUUUUAUUAUUUGACCCUCUGUAUCCCCUUACAUUUCUCUGUAGUCUGUGUGUAAUAUUCCAAUCUCCACCCACUAGACAUUCACCAACGUGAGUCGAAAGUCAAAAUUCACAACAACAUCAUUCCCUUCUGGAUCAGAAGCCAACUGCUGUUGAUUUAAAGAAAUUUUUAUGAACAUUGUAACAACUCUGGCUGGAUGGGACUGGGUUAUUAAAGCAUUGGUGUAGAAGCAUGCAUGGGAUUGGGGAAGGAUGUGUGAUAUGCUAUUAGUAUCAUCAAUUUUGUAUCUAUUAAAAUGAUUACGUCCGUACUAUAGUUAAAUAAAGUAUUUUAACAUAGGUAUAUCAA
rnacentral:lncRNA from 1 species